AUUCCUCUUCUGAGCCGAAUCGACUCGCUGUUGAAUCGCAUCCCAGAAAACAGGUCGGAAGAAGUUAGUCGCUUUUUUUCCAAAGAACUUCGGCUUAAGAUACUUGACUAACUGAGGCGAGAAGGAUAUGAUAAGUAACUCCACGUUACGAUAGAAAUUAGAAUAGAAGAUCUUCCUGCCAUAUUCACGGAACGGUGUUUUCGGAUUCUCCAACGAACCUAGUUUUAAGCCAAAUGCAACACUACCGAUCGUGUCGGUGGCGAAACUCGCGCAAAUAUCCUUGAACUCGACUACUUUUCCCUUGCCUGGGGUAAAAAUCGGUGUCAAUUUUGGCCUGAGAGAUUUCCAUCCUGGAUUUUUCAUCAUGACCACAUUUGCAUAUCCAAGACGAUCAUCUUUCUCAUCUGCACACGCGUAUCUAUCCGGGAAAUAGUCGAAGUCUUUCACUAGGACGUGCUUCACGAGUUCUGGAUCGCGAAUUAACAG
rnacentral:misc_RNA from 1 species